UACGAAGGGGGCUAGCGUUGCUCGGAAUUACUGGGCGUAAAGCGCACGUAGGCGGCUUUCUAAGUCGGGGGUGAAAUCCUGGAGCUCAACUCCAGAACUGCCUUCGAUACUGGAAAGCUCGAGUCCGGGAGAGGUGAGUGGAACUGCGAGUGUAGAGGUGAAAUUCGUAGAUAUUCGCAAGAACACCAGUGGCGAAGGCGGCUCACUGGCCCGGUACUGACGCUGAGAUGCGAAAGCGUGGGGAGCAAACAGG
rnacentral:rRNA from 1 species